rnacentral:rRNA from 1 species
AUGUUUUCGGCUCCCCUUAAAUGCAUUAGUAGGAACCCGUUUGUUGGCGUCCAAAGUGUGAUAAUUAUCUACGCUUUUGGUUAGUCUAACAGGCUCGAAUGGAAGUUAUACCAUUUUUUCAGGACACUUCGGUGUUUCUGGUAUGGGUUUUGUGCACUUCGGUGUGCUUUGCCUGGGUAUGGGGUUUUGCGUACUUUGGUGUGCUUUACCUGUGUCUUUUCAUUAGAGUUUAGGAACUCUGCUUUCUAACCGUCUACGUAUUGUGGACAAAUUUUGACAACUUGACCUCAAAUCAGGUAGGACUACCCGCUGAACUUAAG